GCCUGACUGGCUCAGUCGGUAGAGUACAUGAUUCUUGGUCUUGGGGUUGUGAGUUCAAACCUCAUGUUGGUCA
rnacentral:tRNA from 1 species